UUCAUCACCAAACCCACUGGCUCCAGGUCAUCUAUAAGUCUUAAAGGAUGUCAUCCAAUUGCAGUGUUACCACGUUACAGCUGGACUCGGUGAGACAGGCAGAAUGCCACCCUGUUCACCUGCUACCCUGCAGAGGUGUCCCAGUUCUUUACAGCCACCAUCAAAGACUGAAAACAUGAGAAAACUGUGUCGUUCAGGGGUCGUGGGUUAAAAGGUCAGGAGCUGUCCACAGGGCUACACAGGCCUGGUGCGAAGAGAGGUCAACAAACCAGGCUCUGACCAGGAGGACAGGGAAGGUGUCCUCAGUGUUCCAUAACAUCACCUACUGGAACCUCGAGACUCCACCCAACUCUGAUGACGGCAUCGUCAUGGCAAUGGCCUGAUCUGGCAGAAGUGGCGAGUGUGCAAAACAAUAAUUUGUUUUAAGAGGACCAUUAGCAUGCUUUACCAUAUGUGGCCCAGGCGUAAUAACACAUGAUUCAUCUUUGACAGAUACACAUGCCAGUGGAUGACUGACAUGGAAGAGGCCAAAGCAAAGAUCAAUCCCUUUUCUACCCUAAUUUUCCUGCUGCAGCCCGAAGACUGCCUCAAUACAUUGGUUGUGUUCAGUAGCCAUUGCUUAGCUUGUGAAAAUAGGAAUAAUGGACAAACAAUGGGUAGAACACUCCUCACAGUCCCUAGUGUUGUAAUGGACAGUGUCUAUCUUUUACAGAUCUAUGGGGUGAAUUGUGCUUGCUGUUUCUUGUGACUUCUGUAGCUAUUGUACCAUGUUCUUUUUGUUGUAUAUUUCUGUCAACAAUUCUACUCAUAUUAUAGGCCAUUGUAAUACAGAUUGUGUUGAAGUCAUUUAUUGAACAGUACUCCAAUUGAAGGAAAUAUCUAAAUACACUGCUCAAAAAAAUAAAGGGAACACAAACAACACAAUGUAACUCCAAGUCAAUCACACUUCUA